ensembl:lncRNA
CAGGGAAAGAGGAAGGUCACAGCUGUGAGUGUGUGAGAGUGAGAGGGACAGAGAGUGCUAUGUAAUCAAUGGAAACGAAUCGAUGCCACACAGUUUCUAAAAUUGUGAGCUAUAAAUAUAAUAUAAUCUUCCCAGGACUGGGAAACCGAAAGUAAACAUGCCUGAAGCCCAAAUAGAAGUGGAUGUGCAAACAACCAUUUUGAAGCAGGAAUAUUGUCUGGCUUCCGGCAAGCAAAGGCGUGGCUGGGAUAAUGAGGUAUGGGCUUUAUAAAGGGCGUGAGAGAGAGAGAGAGAAAGGCGUGGCCUUGGAGAGUGAGAUUAGGAUUCAUAAAGGAGUGAGAGAGAGGCGUGGUCUUGAGAGUGAGGUAUAGGCUUUAUUAUGGGUUAGAGAAAGGCGUGGCCUUGGAGAGUGAGAUUAGGCUUCAUAAAGGAGUGAGAGAGAGAGGUGUGGUUGUGAGAGUGAGGUAUAGGCUUUAUAAAGGAGCGAGAGAAAGGCGUGGCCUUGGAGAGUGAGUUAUAGGCUUCAGAGAGAGAGAGAGAGAGGUGUGGCUUGGAGAGAGGUGUGGCCUGGGAGAGGGAGAGGCGUGGCCUGGGAGAGGCGCGUGGCCUGGGAGAAUGAGGGAGAGAGGCGUGGCCUGGGAGAAUGAGCUAUAGGCUUCAUAAAGGAGCGAGAGAGAGGCGUGGCUGUGAGAGUGAGCUAUAGGCUUCAUGAAGGAGUGAGACUGAAGCCUGAUCGUGAGAGUGAGGCCUUGUAGAGUGAGAAAUAGGCUUCAUAAUAUAAAUAUAUAUAGAGAGAGAGAGAGGACACAGGCUUGACCUGAGAGGUAUAGGCUUUAUUACGGGUGAGAGAGAGAGGACACAGGCGUGGCAGGGAGGGCGUGUCAUAGGCUUUAUUAAGGGGUGAGAGAGAGAGAGAGAGAGAGCGAGGGAGAGGAAGAGGUGUGGCCUGGGAGAGCGAGGUAAAGGCUUAGUAACGGGGGAGGAGAGAGAGAGAGAGAGAGAGAGAGAGAGGACACAAGCUUGAACUUUGGGGGUCACACCACCACCGGUAAAUAUUAGCC